AUGGAACUCCUUAAUUUGCUAUAGAACACUAAUGUGCUUUGUAAGCAACAAAUAAUCCUUUCACCUUUUUUCUGCACCAAGUUAAAACAACAUGGUUAUGAUUCCCUAAAAUGAUAGUGUGGUUUAGCAAUUUAAAUUCAUUAUUCAAAUAUUCAACAAAACAUUUUGGUUCUAUGUAGGCAGGAUAUAUAGUGCUUUAAUUUUUAACUUGCCCAAUAAAGCAAAAGUUGAUGGUAUAGAGGAAAAAAA
rnacentral:misc_RNA from 1 species